UGGGGGAAUUUUGGACAAUGGGCGAAAGCCUGAUCCAGCAAUGCCGCGUGUGUGAAGAAGGCCUUCGGGUUGUAAAGCACUUUUGUCCGGAAAGAAAUCCUCUGGGUUAAUACCUCGGGGGGAUGACGGUACCGGAAGAAUAAGCACCGGCUAACUACGUGCCAGCAGCCGCGGUAAUACGUAGGGUGCAAGCGUUAAUCGGAAUUACUGGGCGUAAAGCGUGCGCAGGCGGUUUUGUAAGACGGAUGUGAAAUCCCCGGGCUUAACCUGGGAACUGCAUUCGUGACUGCAAGGCUAGAGUAUGGCAGAGGGGGGUAGAAUUCCACGUGUAGCAGUGAAAUGCGUAGAGAUGUGGAGGAAUACCGAUGGCGAAGGCAGCCCCCUGGGCCAAUACUGACGCUCAUGCACGAAAGCGUGGGGAGCAAACAGGAUUAGAUACCCUGGUAGUCCACGCCCUAAACGAUGUCAACUAGUUGUUGGGGAUUCAUUUCCUUAGUAACGUAGCUAACGCGUGAAGUUGACCGCCUGGGGAGUACGGUCG
rnacentral:rRNA from 1 species